rnacentral:rRNA from 1 species
CGCCCCUACGGACGCAGCAGUCGAGAAUCAUUCACAAUGGGGGAAACCCUGAUGGUGCGACGCCGCGUGGGGGAAUGAAGGUCUUCGGAUUGUAAACCCCUGUCAUGUGGGAGCAAAUUAAAAAGAUAGUACCACAAGAGGAAGAGACGGCUAACUCUGUGCCAGCAGCCGCGGUAAUACAGAGGUCUCAAGCGUUGUUCGGAAUCACUGGGCGUAAAGCGUGCGUAGGCUGUUUCGUAA